CCUACGGGAGGCAGCAGUGAGGAAUAUUGGUCAAUGGCCGGGACGCUGAUGCAGCCAAGUCGCGUGAGGGAAGACGGCCCUAGGGGUUGUAAACCUCUUUUGUCAGGGAGCAAGGUGCAGGUCGGGACCUGCUGUGAGAGUACCUGAAGAAAAAGCAUGGGCUAAAUCCGUGCCAGCGGCCGCGGUAAUACGGAGGAUGCGAGCGUUAUCGGGAUUUAUGGGGGUAAACGGGUGGGCAGGGGGAGGCACAGGUCAGCGGUAAAGUCGCGGGGCUCAACCCCGCUCCGCCGUUGAAACUGUGUCCCUGGAGUGCGCGAAGGGUAGGCGGAAUGCGUGGUGUAGCGGUGAAAUGCGUAGAUAUUACGCAGAACUCCGAUCGCGAAGGCAGCCUACCGGCGCGCAACUGACGCUCAUGCACGAAAGCGUGGGUAGCGAACAGGAUUAGAUACCCUAGUAGUC
rnacentral:rRNA from 1 species